ensembl:snoRNA
UCCACUACAAAGUUGUGUCUUUGGUUCUCUGUCUUUGGACAUAUAAGAAUUAGCGGUAAAGAAAUAUAGAUUUGGAAAAGUCUGAGGGCAGCUCAUUCCCCAUGGGCUUAUGAUCAGUCACCUCACAUAG